rnacentral:rRNA from 1 species
UACGUAGGGACCGAGCGUUGUCCGGAAUCAUUGGGCGUAAAGAGCGUGUAGGCGGCCACUUAAGUCCUGCGUGAAAUCUUGCGGCUCAACCGCAAGCGGUCGUGGGAAACUGGGUGGCUAGAGUGCGGGAGAGGAGAGUGGAAUUCCUGGUGUAGCGGUGGAAUGCGCAGAUAUCAGGAAGAACACCCGUGGCGAAGGCGGCUCUCUGGAACGCAGCUGACGCUGAGACGCGAAAGCGUGGGGAGCGAACAGG